rnacentral:misc_RNA from 1 species
UCCGGCUUUCACCGGCUGUCUCUCUAGAGUGCCCAGCUUCACCUGCUGGCAACUAAAGAUAAGGGUUGCGCUCGUUGCGGGACUUAACCCAACAUCUCACGACACGAGCUGACGACAACCAUGCACCACCUGUCACCACUGUCCCGAAGGAAAGGUAUAUCUCUAUACCGGUCAGUGGGAUGUCAAGCCCUGGUAAGGUUCUUCGCGUUGCUUCGAAUUAAACCACAUGCUCCACCGCUUGUGCGGGCCCCCGUCAAUUCCUUUGAGUUUCAGCCUUGCGGCCGUACUCCCCAGGCGGAGUGCUUAUUGGGUUGCCUUCGGCACUGAGGACGCUAUGCCCCCAACACCUAGCACUCAUCGUUUACGGCGUGGACUAC